rnacentral:ncRNA from 3 species
AAAAAAAAAAAAAAAAAAAAAAAAAAAAAAAAAAAAAA